GACGAACGCUGGCGGCGUGCCUAAUACAUGCAAGUAGAACGCACAGUUUAUACCGUAGCUUGCUACACCAUAGACUGUGAGUUGCGAACGGGUGAGUAACGCGUAGGUAACCUGCCUGGUAGCGGGGGAUAACUAUUGGAAACGAUAGCUAAUACCGCAUAAUAUUGAUUAUUGCAUGAUAAUUGAUUGAAAGAUGCUAUUGCAUCACUACCAGAUGGACCUGCGUUGUAUUAGCUAGUAGGUGAGGUAACGGCUCACCUAGGCGACGAUACAUAGCCGACCUGAGAGGGUGAUCGACCACACUGGGACUGAGACACGGCCCAGACUCCUACGGGAGGCAGCAGUAGGGAAUCUUCGGCAAUGGACGAAAGUCUGACCGAGCAACGCCGCGUGAGUGAAGAAGGUUUUCGGAUCGUAAAGCUCUGUUGUAAGAGAAGAACGGGUGUGAGAGUGGAAAGUUCACACUGUGACGGUAUCUUACCAGAAAGGGACGGCUAACUACGUG
rnacentral:rRNA from 1 species